UUUGAAUAAUGAACGUUGCCUUGAUUUUGUUUAUUGUUUCUUGUAUUUGGGCGUGCGAAGAAAUUGAUGUAUUGGAGAAGAAGCUGUUGUGUUGUGAUGGAGAGUUUGAUGAAGGGGGGGCCGUGUGUCAGAGAUAGGAUGGGAGUAUGUGGAGUUUGAAGGAGAGAUGUUGAAGAAGGCGAUGUUGGUUACGACUGUAGCAUGAAAAUAUGUCUUGGAUUAGUGCCUUUUUGUGUUCUUUUCUUGUUCUGCAAGUUAGUCUUUAGACAUGCCUUCAAAUAGUUAAUUGUAGAUGUACUUUUUAGCUUGUAGUUCUUAAUUUUAGUGGCAUGUCUUGUUAAGUGUACUACAGAAUUUGGAAAGUACAUUUGUGCACCUGAGUGUUAUGUUUGCAUUGUAGUUAUGUUUGCAUAUAUCAUAGUGUCUGUCUUGCUGCAUGAUAUAGUGACAUGCGUUUCUUAUUUUUAGUUACGUCAUGGUUAUACCUGAAUACAGAAAGCUCCAAUUCGAAAAACAAUUAUCAGCAAUGAAGGAGUUCUCGAAAGAAGAUCUCGAAAGAAAAGGGUGGCUCUUCGUUGGAGCAAUCAGCGGAAAAGGUUUCAAAACAUGGAAGAGCGUGAUUGAAAAAACCAGACAAGACGGCUAUGGAGAAUACAAGAAAGGCAAUGAUUGGUUUAAGGUUCCUUUCGAAGUAGAGGUACAGGAGCUGUUCAAAGUGUCGAAGAAGACGUUAAAUUCCUUUAAGUUAACUGAUACAACUGAGAAGCUUCGGGCUAUCUCCAACAACGUCAUUACCACAUCAUGCAUUGAUCCAAUGUUCACUGACAGCAAAGGAUGGGCUAUGUCGAUGGAAAAUUUGGCAAAAAUAACACUUUGUCUAAAAUACCUAAAAGUUUGUCAUUUUCCCUGGUCGAUGGACUUUGUGGUGACAAACCCUGGUUUACUGAGGGCCACGUUGAGUUGGUGGGCGACGAUAGUGUAUCUUGUACGUUGUUUGGUAGGAAACUAUUUGUAAUCGCAACUGAGAAGAAAGCUUCUGAUAAAGUCCUGCAGACUCUUAAAACUGCAACUGCGAUGUUCUACUUCUUGAUGGCUGCACCUCCGGAUGGAUUCAAGAAUGAAAUUCGUCUAAUGUUUUCAAAUCAGGCGAAAUUAGUUUUCCGAACCGGCUCUCUGCGUACUUGCGAUGUUUACCGUCGAUGCGCCUGCUUGUGUUGUCGGCUGGGAAGCAGGUUGUCCCAACGACGAAGAUCGCCUCAAGGCAGUAAGGCAGAAGUAUUUCUUCGGAGUGGGUAGGGUAAAAAUCCAACUUUUAUCCAAAAUGCAAGGAUCUGAGAGGUUGGAAGAACCUACAAGCGGAAGAUGGCGAAGUUACCGACUUUUCGAAAAAGCCAGGACAAUAAAAAUUAAAUCACCGAAGAAAAAAAGAAACUAUUGAUCAAGGAAGCAGUGCAGAAAAUGGAAGAAAUGAUCAGCGAGAUUCCAGUUGACUAAAAAAGCGCCUGACCGGUUGUGGGUCAAAAAGGGAGGAGGGUUUAUGGGCUAUGCUGUUCGUGCUCUCAAGGGGAAACUGGAGUAUACCAGUGCAGAUAAGUCCGAAUUCAAGCUACAGUUCAGAAGACGACGCGUUAAGGGAUUCCUAGACUCCAAAAAAUACUGGCCCAAACUAAUUCUCUAUGAGCGGGAUGUCUACGCGGUGUUCUACGGGUGUUCCCACGGGUCAGAUGCCGAGUACAUGUGGGUGUACAGUCGUGAGCCGACUUUGCCGUACAACAAUCUUCUGAUUAUCAACAAUGAGUUGAAACGAAUGGGCAUCCACAUGUAUUUCGUCCACAUGAUCGACCAGUUUAACUGCAUCUAGAAGAACUGAUCUACGCUAUUAUACGCUUAGAAGCAAAUCACUUCCUAGCACGAAUUAAUAUAUUUGGAUUCUUCUUUUAAAAUUAAUAUUUGAUUUUUGAACAACAAUUCAUUUGUU